GACGAACGCUGGCGGCGUGCUUAACACAUGCAAGUCGAACGGAAAGGCCCUGCUUUUGUGGGGUUCUCGAGUGGCGAACGGGUGAGUAACACGUGAGUAACCUGCCCUUGACUUUGGGAUAACUUCUGGAAACUGGGGCUAAUACCGGAUAGGAGCUCCUGCUGCAUGGUGGGGGUUGGAAAGUUUCGGCGGUUGGGGCUGGACUCGUGGCUUAUCAGCUUGUUGGUGUGGUAGUGGCUUACCAAGGCUUUGACGGGUAGCCGGCCUGAGAGGGUGACCGGCCACAUUGGGACUGAGGGACGGCCCAGACUCCUACGGGAGGCAGCAGUGGGGAAUAUUGCACAAUGGGCGGAAGCCUGAUGCAGCAGCGCCGCGUGCGGGAUGACGGCCUUCGGGUUGUAAACCGCUUUCGCAUGUGACGAAGCGGGAGUGACGGUAAUGGGUAAAGAAGCACCGGCUAACUACGUG
rnacentral:rRNA from 1 species